GGAGUGUCUUCGAGCUUUUCUGCAGGAGUAUUUAAUGUAACAUCAAUCGUUUCUGAAGCUCAUGUCGACGGAAAGUCCCCCGGAGGUUAAUUCUGACAAGGGAUUUAAUUUGGUUUUCGACACGGUCAUAUUUUCAUCUCUCUGUCUUGUGAUAUUUUAGUCCAGAUUUAAUCAGAGGAACUCCUCGGUUGCUUUGUCUGAUUUUUUUGUCUUAACUUUUGAAAUGUGAGCGAAAAAAAAGAGAUUUGAGUCGUCUCACUUUGAUUUUUAAAUCAUAUAAACUGUCUGAGGAGUUGAGCUAAAACAACUAAAAGCGAAAUGUGUAAAUCGAAGCUUAAAGUCGUUACAGCAUGUAGAGAUGAGAUGGUUUUAAUACGAGGGCUUUAUGUUCAGACAGAGUUACAGUAACACAGUUAAGGCUCCUGAUCAGAGUGUCUAUUUCAACUCAAAGCAAAGACUCGGCGACUGAACACCACGAGCUGCCACACUGAGAGACUGGCAACACGGCGGGCCAUUUGGCUGUAUUAACCAUGCGCUGUGUGUGUCUGCUGUCUGUGUGAUCUUAAUCCAAUACUGGGAUUCAUAAUCCCCAGCAGGUUUCUCCACUAAACAAAGCUUAGGAAGGAUUUGGUUGUUUGUUUAUCAUCUGAGUUAAUGUCAGGAGGUCAGCUCGGGGACAAAUGGAAGCAGAACAAAAGGAGCUCUGAUACUCUCUCAAUCUCUCUCAAUCCUUCAGUCGCUGCCAAAAUCUGGACGCAAAUCUGCCGCUGCCACGAGAUGUCCACUCGAUGCAACUUAAACAGAGGUAAACGCACGCUCUUGUUAGUAGUUCAGUGUUUCUUUCCACCAAACAGAUUCAUUCAGAUCUGUUUCUUUAAAUCUGCGUUUACUUUAGCCAGUAAAGUUUCUUGUCCAUCCUGAGGUCCAAAGACGACUCCAGGAGCUGUUUAGCUAAGCUUUAUUAUUCCGUUAUCUCCUGAUGAUAAUAAAUGAUGCUCCUGUUUACUCUCCAAACUCUGCAGUAUUAUAAGAUAACAACUUAAUUAUGAUAACGUUUCAGGGUUACACAUUUCGUCCAUUUUAAAAGGAGAAAAAAAAACACAGAGCUGCUCCUCUUCCAGAGACAGACAGUGCAUGAUAACAGCACUUUUAUCAUCAUAAACAUCGCCGCUUCACUCUCAUGUUACAGAUAGUUUAAGAUGUGAUUUUAAUCUGGAACUUUUUUUGUCACAUUCAGUCCAAAGCUCUCAGUUGGACGUAGUUGCAUCCAUAAAUCUGGUCCUGGCAUUCACAGACGGGGGACGCAGGACUGCUGGAGGUGUUGGUGAGUUAUUCAGCAGAAGUGUAGACAGCUUCAGGUAAAGAAUUUCGUUUGUUAUUCAUUCACUUCUUCUUUCACUGCCAAAUAAUAUAUUUAACUUUACUGUUACAUGCAGAAUAGCUUCAUUUUUGCUGGGUUGUAAUAUUGAGUGUGAUACUUGAAUUAGAGCUGCAACAAUAAACAAAUACUGAUGUUAUUUAUAUUGUAAGAAAUUAAAUAAAAUGCUGAUAUUGUGCUAAAAAUAAUCACAUUAUAAUACUGUGAUGUCACUCAUCUGAAAACAGAGACUAAGCUGCUUGUGAGUUAGCUGUAGCAUCCCUCUAACAGAUGAUUCAGCACUUUUCAAACUCAUAAUCAAGAUUUAUUGUGACUCUAAAAACAGCAUUAGAGCUCUCUGCCUGUUUAAGUUACCAAUCAAAUGAACAUUUAAACUUCCUAACUGUUCAGUUCAGUAACUCACGAUCUACCAGAAGUAAAAUCCUUCAAAAUAAAAGCGUGGUUUGGCAGUGCAGGAAACAUAGCAACCUAAACAGAAGAGAGAAAAAACACAUCAGAAUAAAAGCAUAAAUAACAAUCAUUUAUUGAGGGACUUAAUAUAUUACCAGAAAUAGAUGAUGACAUGUAAGUUAACUAUAUUCAUUCGUGACUUUAUUAAGUUAUAGUAUGUACCAGAUUUAACGAUUGUCUUGUUUUCUUGUCAAGUUUUCAAGUAAUUUAACAACUUACUUAUAAUAACUCAUAAUAAAAAUGAGAGUUUAAAGUUAUAAAGGUAAUGGUUUUUUAGAAGCUACGAUACAAUACGAUAUGAUAUGAUACAAUAUGAUACAAUAUGAUACAAUAUGAUAUAAUACAAAACAAUACGUUACAACAAGAUACAAGACGACACAACACGAAACAAUACAACAUAAAUGCAAUACAAUACAGUACGAUAUACAACACGAUACGAUAUGAUACAAUAGGAUUCGAUACAGAAAACAUAAUAUGAUAGGAUACGAUGCAAUACGAUAUGAUACAAUGCAAUAUGAUACGUUACAACAAGAUACAAGACGACACAACACGAAACAAUACGAUAUAAACACAAUACAAUACAGUACGAUAUACAACAUGAUACGAUACAGUACGAUACAAUGUGAGACGAUACGAUACGUUACAACAAGAUACAACACGAUAUAAUACGAUAUAAUAUGAUACAACAUGGUACAAUAAGGUACAAUACGAUACAAUAGGAUACAAUACGGUUCAUCUUGUUGUCCUAUUGAUUUCUAAUAACACCUUCUUCAACAUUAAAGGUCAGUCUCCUGCAUUGUUGUUGUCAUCUCUACUCUUUCACUAACAGUAAAAUGUUGCCCCUCUAAAUAUUAUCUGUCUCUUCUCUAAGGAAACCAGGUGACAUUGGUUAAUCCUCCUUUUUUUUUCAUGGGAUGCCAAUCAGAUGAUGUGAUGCUCCUGCCGCCGCCAAACUGUGAUUAGUCAGACCGAUGCCAAGAGAGGCCGGCAGCUCUUUGGCUUCAAAACAAUCAGAUCACAGCGUGAUGUCAAUGCAACUGUAGUGAAAUAAUAGGAGAACGCCCGGGGACGACUAUUAACGCCGUUACCGAAUGCAGUGAUACAGUUGUGUGUAAAACAGGAGGGUAAAUUCGCUCUUUGGUUUCAUUGCACCACCUGUUGAAGCACAAACACGCUGUUUUGUGAAAGCUCUGUAAAAUGCUCACAGAUUGGAGGUUUUGUUUCACUUGGCUUAUGCAGAGACAUUCCCCACGCCAAGCCUCUGGGUGUUAGCCCAAUAUCUGACAAAUCUGUCACUGGCUGCUCAUUCUGUUUGUGCAGAAAAUGGUCUUUUUGGUCUUUUGUUGCAGCUUUUGGUCUUUCAGUCCUGGGCCUCUGAUAGGUACUAGGCUUCAGGUUGUUUUCAAACAGGCUGUGAAAACCCAGCCAGAACCAAAAAGGUGGAUGAGACUGAUGUUUAUGUGUUUUCCCGUUUAUUUUCUUUUAUUCUAUAUCACAAAAGCAUAUUUAUUUCAUCCCAACUUAUAACCAUUGACAUUAUCCAUUAAAGGGAUAUUCCGGCAUAAAAUUAAUUUAGGGUCAAACCCACCGUAACACCGAGUUAGACCCCCCCUCCAGAGAUGAAUGUUGCCGACCGCUUGCUUCUCUAGUUAUACCAACUUUAGUAACGACCGCAGGAUAGCAAUACAGAGAGCCACGCGCUCAACCAAAACGCCACUCUAUAGCCACAAAUAAUGCUCAGAACAGCACCUAACUUCAUCAACAGGACAUAUAGGGUCACAGACAUAGUACUAGACACCAAACAUCUUUUUAACUUUUCCUGAUUCCUUGUUUCACACAACUCACCUACUCUCUUCCAGCAGCCGCUUGUUUGUGCGAGUCCAUCGACUGCAGUGGGGAGUCACAGCUAAAGGAAGAACAUUUAUGAUCAUUUCUUUAUCAUUUCCAUGAAGUAAUAAUCACCAUAUUACUCAUUUUGUACUGCAGAUGGGGUUUGAUGACGUCACGGUCUGACUGCAUUUCCACGAGGAAAUGAUCAUAAAUGUACUUCCGGAGCUGUAAUGGUAUUUUAAGCUCCUGUAGAGAACUUUUGGUUUGUAAUAGCGGACAAAGCAGUCCUUGCUUAUCUUGUCCUUUACAUGCAAAAGCAGUAAUUUUUCACUUUUGACUGUCAAAUCUAUAAUUUAUUGAGAAUAUUUCAUGUCGAAACUUUAAAAAAAGGUGUGUCUCAAGCUGUUCUGCUGAUAUCUACCCCCUCCCACCAAAUUCAAUCCUUGACUAUCAUAACAAAAAGCUGUAAAUCUUGUCACUGAUGGUCUUUUUUGCUUUUGGAUGUUAUGUUUAUAAAUUUGAUAAGUUAUGGUUAUUGUAAAGUGUUACUGAAAGUUCUUUACAGGAGCUUUAAAAACAUUUUUAAAAAGUUGGAAACUUCUGAUCCGGUCUGUUUUGUGUCAUAGUAAAAAAAAGUAGCAGUCUGGUUCAUGUGGACUUUUAGUAUCUGCCUGAAGAGCUCUGACCAGCACUCUCCAGUAAAAAGGCAAAGACACAGAACCACAGGUUAAGCUUCAUUGUCUGACACAAGGACACUCCAGCAGAGUGGAUACUCGCUGACUCUGCAGUCUGAACUCUGCUCCUCUCGCUGAAGGACUCUCUCUCUUUUUACUGUAAGACCCCUGAGCCGCUGCGGUCCCCUCUCCAGCUUAAACCCCACCAUGUGACUGAACACAACACGAGGAAACACAUGACACAGAGCCAGGAGCGGGCCGGGGAAACUGUGGGUUUGUUUUUUUGUCUUUUUGGCAAAUUAAAUCAAAGACACAUGGAUCUCUGCCCGGAUGGUGUUUGUAUUUGUAUUAAACUCAAACAGGCAGAAAGAAUCAAGCAGGAGCUGUUUCUACGCACCGAUCCUGGCGUCUAAUAAAAGGCGGGUAAUAUGUGUUUAACUGGGCGAGGGUGUGACUCCCUACCUUUGGGACCGCCGCUGCAGUCGGCCUCCUGACCAACACAUCGCACACGCCAACAUUAGCCGCGUGUAUGGGUUUUAAAAGCUACACACAUCCUCACAUUUCACCUCUAAGGAAGGAAACGGCUCUGUUUUUACUCAGCUGGUCAUGUUCCAGCCGGCCCCUAACAGCCAGACAGGUUAUUGGAAUCAAUAAAUUUAACCACAUAAGGCAGGUAGAGAGGACAAUAAAAGAAGCUGCUGCAGCUCCUGGUUUCCCACUGAGCUCCUUUCUGCAGAGCUUUACGCUCAACUCUACUGUCUUUUUGCUCUUUUUCCACUGAAGUUCCUACAAUAACUGCGUGUUUCACAUUUAAAGACUUGCUCACUAGUUAGUGUUGAUAGUUUUUACUAGAAGAGCUGCACAGGUAGCCUCACAGAGCUAAUGUAAACACUUGUGACAGCUAUUAGCAAGUGUGUCGUCAUUUUUAACACAUAAUCCUGCGUUUUUCAUGCACCUAUUAGCAGCUUCCCUCCUAACUGUGAUAAACGAAUGUUGCAAAACGAAAGAUCUGCAGCAGGUGGAAACAUGAAACAUCAGGUCUGAUGAAAAACUCACUCUUUGGAUUUAUGUGAAAUAAAAAACUGAGAAUAGCAAUCAGACACACCAGUUAACAAUGGCAUCAAAAUGCAGGGAAGCAAAUGGAAGGUGGGUAAAAAAAAAGGUACGGAUCAUGAAAACAUAAUUGACAGACUGACUCAGUUAAAAGUUAUAGUUAAAUCAUCGACAUGUUUUUUUUUCUAAUAAACUGACAUAAGAGACUCAAAAUAACAUUCUAAACCAACUAGAAAAGAGAGGAGGGGAGAGAUGGGGAAACUGCAGAACUAGAACGCGAAAGAGACAUCCACCAAACUGAAGAAAACAAACACAAACCAACAGCAAACUGCAACAUGGUGUGGACUUUGGCGGGAAAAUAUAAACAGACUUUAAAAGUUGAAGUAAGGAGAUCUUCUAAAGGUACCUCUGUUGUCCUCUGUAUCUGUCAAAGACGACCAAAUGAACUCAUUUCACCUUCCUGUAAAGAUGUACAACUUUGCAUAACAUAGCGAAGAACUUCCUUUCCCUGAAACUGGUGUCCAUGAAAACCCUCAUUUUAACACAGUCCAACCUCUCCAGGUUUGUUUCAGCUGCUGGGUGUUACUUUUUACACAGCUUUGACAUCCCGAAACAACCUGAAAUUUAUGUUUUUACAAAAAGUGUCAUAACAGCCCGCUUAGAGAUCGCUGUUUUACUGAUUUGGGGUCUUUAUGGAGAUCCUUAUAUGUAUCUGUCAUAUGCCACAAAGUAUAAACUAACUUUGCAUUGACGUGCAGCUAACCCUGACUUAAGCUGCGUUUCAGUUAUACUUGGAAAUCGAGAUUUCCAGCUCCAAGUCGGAAAUUCAUCUGGAACGUCCCCCAUAAGUCCGAUUUCUGACUCAGAAAGUCGGACGAUCCUCACUGACCCUGACCACGUCAUAAUCCAAGAUGGCAGCACAGUGCAUCAACAGAAAAGAGUAACGGUGAAAACUCUCGCAAUGUUUUAUUUAUUAGCACUUCUGUUUUGUUUUUGUGAAAUUAAAUAAGUGGUUUAUGUUGUUCUGCCCAACGUCUAACUGUGAAC